rnacentral:rRNA from 1 species
CCUACGGGAGGCAGCAGUGAGGAAUAUUGGUCAAUGGACGAGAGUCUGAACCAGCCAAGUAGCGUGCAGGAUGACGGCCCUAUGGGUUGUAAACUGCUUUUAUAAGGGAAUAAAGUGAGUCUCGUGAGACUUUUUUGCAUGUACCUUUAUGAAUAAGGACCGGCUAAUUCCGUGCCAGCA